rnacentral:rRNA from 1 species
GUAAUGUCUGGAACGUAAGCCUGAUGGAGGGGGAUAAUACUCGGAAACGGUAGCUAAUACCGCAUAACGUCGCAAGACCAAAGAGGGGGACCUUCGGGCCUCUUGCCAUCGGAUGUGCCCAGAUGGGAUUAGCUAGUAGGUGGGGUAACGGCUCACCUAGGCGACGAUCCCUAGCUGGUCUGAGAGGAUGACCAGCCACACUGGAACUGAGACACGGUCCAG